AUUGAACGCUGGCGGCAGGCUUAACACAUGCAAGUCGAGCGGAGAGAGGUAGCUUGCUACUGAUCUUAGCGGCGGACGGGUGAGUAAUGCUUAGGAAUCUGCCUAUUAGUGGGGGACAACAUUUCGAAAGGAAUGCUAAUACCGCAUACGUCCUACGGGAGAAAGCAGGGGAUCUUCGGACCUUGCGCUAAUAGAUGAGCCUAAGUCGGAUUAGCUAGUUGGUGGGGUAAAGGCCUACCAAGGCGGCGAUCUGUAGCGGGUCUGAGAGGAUGAUCCGCCACACUGGGACUGAGACACGGCCCAGACUCCUACGGGAGGCAGCAGUGGGGAAUAUUGGACAAUGGCGGAAGCCUGAUCUAGCCAUGCCGCGUGUGUGAAGAAGGCCUUAUGGUUGUAAAGCACUUUAAGCGAGGAGGAGGCUACUUUAGUUAAUACCUAGAGAUAGUGGACGUUACUCGCAGAAUAAGCACCGGCUAACUCUGUGCCAGCCGCCGCAGUAAUAC
rnacentral:rRNA from 1 species